rnacentral:misc_RNA from 1 species
GAAAUGCGAUACGUAAUGCGAAUUGCAGAAUUCCGUGAAUCAUCGAAUCCUCGAACGCACAUUGCACUUUCAAGUUUUCUUGGAAGUAUACCUGUUUGAGUAUCAGUGUUCUCUCUCAAAUUCCAUUUUUGUUGGUAACAACGGAUAUGGUAAUUUGGACUUGGACUUUUCACAGUUGGUAACAACUGCGAAGUCUUGAAUUUAGAAUCAUUAGGCUUUGAAUACCAAACCUAAAGCUAGGUCCUUUGCUCUGGCAAUUUUCUUAAGCUUAAAAAGUUUGCAAAGUCUUGUGGCCUUCCAGGGUUGGGCGACCUUCAACUGGAAAAUCCAAAGCAUUUCACUCUCUUCGGAGUUUGAAAAACUUUGAGCCUUUGAUCUCAAAUCAGGUAAGAUGACCCGC